AGAGUUUGAUCAUGGCUCAGGAUGAACGCUGGCGGCGUGCCUAAGACAUGCAAGUCGAGGGGGUUUAGACCCCCGGCGAACGGGUGAGUAACACGUGGGAACUUCCAUUAAGUUGAGGAUAUCCUCCCGAAAGGGAGAGCAAUACUCGAUGUGGUCGUAAGACUAAAGUCGCAAGACGCUUAAUGUGAGGCCCGCGGCCC
rnacentral:rRNA from 1 species